UGGCUUGGUGGUUAAAGCGUCUGCCUGCAAUGCAGGAGACCUAGGUUCGAUCCCUGG
rnacentral:tRNA from 1 species